CUUAUGCGUUGUUGGGUAGGGGAGCGUUCUGUAAGCCUGCGAAGGUGUGCUGUGAGGUAUGCUGGAGGUAUCAGAAGUGCGAAUGCUGACAUAAGUAACGAUAAAGCGGGUGAAAAGCCCGCUCGCCGGAAGACCAAGGGUUCCUGUCCAACGUUAAUCGGGGCAGGGUGAGUCGACCCCUAAGGCGAGGCCGAAAGGCGUAGUCGAUGGGAAACAGGUUAAUAUUCCUGUACUUGGUGUUACUGCGAAGGGGGGACGGAGAAGGCUAUGUUGGCCGGGCGACGGUUGUC
rnacentral:rRNA from 1 species